UACAGUUCAGCACAGUCAGCCACUUUGCCCUCAAACUAGAUAUCACAUGGAUGCAGCUCAUUAAGCAGGACAGGCACUCUGCUGCCUCUGAGAGGAAAGUUACAUGCUAACUUUAAAGGUGCAAUUUGUAAAGAAUAGCCAACUGUUGAAGGUUACUAAGGCAGAUUAGCACCAGCGUGACCACCAAUGGUUACUCACUAUACCCUCGCGAGCUACGUUUAGUCAUAGCUGGUGCUACUAGCUGCCAUUAGCUAGUAAGCUCGGUUAGCAGUACAGCUUGUGGCUCUUUAGCUAACUGGUUCGGGGUCACGGGGAUGUGACUGCACUGACUGAUGCCAGUUUGACUGCAGGCAACACGGUGCCAAGGUGAUUCACGGAGUCUCCAGCCAGGACAUUGUCCCUGAGGACGAGAAGACACGGCGGGCGGGGACCGUGAGGGAGAGCGCCGACCCUGCGAGGAAUGCCAGGAUGCUGUGGAAAAGAGCGGUGCUGUUACACAGGCUGUCGCACACCUGAGGCAACUGAGAGGAGCAAAAAAAAGGGGGGGGUUAUGAAAUUAAUGGCAUAGGAAAGGCAAAGUAUGCUUAUUUGAUGCAGAUAGCAUGCGCAGACAUGGUCAUUACUGGAGGCAAUGCUCCCUUAAUGAGCCACACUCUAGAACUGGUAUUGAAUUACUGUUAGUAAUGACCUACCAUACUCCUAUAUGGCUAACAUGCAGAGCUGGCAUGGGGAGGGUUUAUUCAGUAUUUUUUUUUAAAAGAGAGUCUGUGAUGCAGCCACAUUACAGCAUUGUUAUUUUGGAAGAGUUAACAAGCUUUUGUGAGAUUGUCUGCAAGCAUUUUCUUUUGCAUUCACUAUGAUGUCAGAUACCAGUGGCAGUGGCAAUUUCCACAGCAGAUGAUAUAGAGAUGCAUAGAGCUGCGCACAAGUGAGUUCUCGUGCUGGACUGUUUUGUGAGCUUUGACGGCGGAUAGUUUAUUUGUUUGUUUUUUUGUUUUUGUUUUUUUUACAAAAGUGCUGUUUUCCUUGUGGCCAUGCUGAUAGUUUCAAUUCAAGGGGGAUACAAUAUAUAUGCUGCUGCAUUGUGCUGUAAAAAAAUGACCACAAAAAAAAUGAUCAAACAGAUCUUCUGUAUCGUAACUCAGAGGUUGGGUAUGGGGAAGUGCACUGGCUGGAUAACACAUAUCACACUCUUUCUUUAAAUGAAAGAUUAUUUGAAAUGCAUCUCACGUAGCCUAAUCCUACACUACACUGUGAAAUCGAUGGUUCUGUUUGUUCUCUUUGUCUCUGCUGAGCUCACUUAAGAGACAAUAAAACAUUUAUUCAACAUUUAA